CGGACGGGUGAGUAACGCGUGGAUAACCUGCCUCACACUGGGGGAUAACAGUUAGAAAUGACUGCUAAUACCGCAUAAGCGCACAGUACCGCAUGGUACAGUGUGAAAAACUCCGGUGGUGUGAGAUGGAUCCGCGUCUGAUUAGCCGGUUGGCGGGUAACGGCCCACCAAAGCGACGAUCAGUAGCCGACCUGAGAGGGUGACCGGCCACAUUGGGACUGAGACACGGCCCAA
rnacentral:rRNA from 1 species